UGCCCAGCAACUCCUAUCCCUACCUCCACGCGGUACCGGCCGGAAACUAUGAGAAACCUUAGGGAAGAUCGGGUAACCAACCCCGGUGGGAACUUUGGUCGUAGGCUGACAGGGAAGG
rfam:Aedes albopictus isolate Foshan contig58082, whole genome shotgun sequence.